CUGGCGGCGUGCUUACACAUGCAAGUCGAACGGAGGACUAAGAGGAAGCUUGCGAAUCCUAGUCCUUAGUGGCGGACGGGUGAGUAACACGUGGAUAACCUGCCUGUAAGACCGGGACAACACCUGGAAACGGGUGCUAAUACCGGGUAAGCUCUUUUUGCCGCAUGGUGAGAAGAGGAGAGGGGAAACCCGCUUACAGAUGGAUCCGCGGCCCAUUAGCUAGUUGGCGGUGUAACGGACCACCAAGGCGACGAUGGGUAGCCGGCCUGAGAGRGUGWUUCGGCCACACUGGAACUGARACACGGUCCAGAACUCCUACGGGAGGCAGCAGUGGGGAAUCUUCCGCAAUGGGCGAAAGCCUGACGGAGCAACGCCGCGUGGAAWGAUYGAAAGKGCCCUUUUCGGGUUBGUAAAAAAUUUCUGGUUCUUUCAGGGGAAGAAAAAAAAAAUGGAACGGGUACCCUGGAAGGAGGAAAGCCCCGGCUAACUUACGUGSCAGCAGCCGCGGUAAUACGUAGGGGGGCGAGCGUUUGUCCGGAAUUACUGGGCGUAAAGGGCGCGUAGGCGGUUUUAUUUAAGUCAGAAGGUGAAAAGCUCCCCGGCUCAACCGGGGGGACUGCCUUUGAAACUGGAAGACUUGAGGGCAGG
rnacentral:rRNA from 1 species